rnacentral:rRNA from 1 species
GACGAACCGAGCGAACGUUGUUCGGAAUCACUGGGCUUAAAGGGCGCGUAGGCGGGUGCUCAAGUCCGUGGUGAAAUCCUCCGGCUCAACCGGGGAACUGCAUCGGAUACUGGUGGACUCGAGAGUUGUAGGGGUGGACGGAACUCCAGGUGGAGCGGUGAAAUGCGUAGAUAUCUGGAGGAACACCGGAGGCGAAAGCGGUCCACUGGGCAACUUCUGACGCUGAGGUGCGAAAGCUAGGGUAGCAAACGGG